rnacentral:lncRNA from 1 species
UGGACUUCCCACGUGUCCUUCAAAGAAAGCAAUUAUUUUUGCCUAUUUUCUGAGUAUGAUGGUAUUCUCCAUUUGAUUUAACAAAAAAAUUCUUCCUCUGCUUUAAAAGACUGAAAGCCUCCCUGUAAGGUGCUGAUUGCCUUCCAGAUCUGAGGACCCCGUCUCUGCCUCAUUCCUCCUGUUUCCAUCAGAAGACACAGGUCUGGGACUCAGCGCAGCUGACCUGUCUGUCCCUCUCUGCACAGUUUACUCCUGGGCUCUGCAGAGAGAAGUCAGUGCCUCAAUUUUCCAUUGAAAUAUGCACCCUUGGCAUCCUGGCAGAGGAGGAAGGUGAGUCCUGGAGGAGGGAACAGACUCCCGGGGACACACGGCAAGGAUUCCAGCCUGGGCCCAUUUUGGUAGCGCUCCCUCACGGUGACAGAUCCAGCCAGUGCGCCAGCAGACGCCCUUCACGGAAACCUCACGUAAAGGCUGAGUUAGUGCUGUCUCAGACGACUGCAGCG